rnacentral:rRNA from 1 species
UGCGGUUAAAAAGCUCGUAGUUGGAUCUUGGAAUGUGAACGCGAGGUCGCUUUACUGAGUGAACUUUGUGGCGCAUUCUUCCAUUUGGUCGGUGUGUUUGUGCUCUUAAUUGAGUGCAACAUGCUACCAGAAAUUUUACCUUGAAAAAAUUAGAGUGUUCAAAGCAGACCUUUUUGUGUCUGAAUAUUCGUGCAUGGAAUAAUAAAAUAUGAAUUCGGUUCUAUUUUAUUGGUUUUCGGAGCUCGAGUUAAUGAAUAAGAGGGACAGACGGGGGCAUCCGUACUCUGCCGUUAGAGGUGAAAUUCUUGGAUCGGCGGAAGACGCGCAACUGCGAAAGCAUUUGCCAAGAAUGUUUUCUUUAAUCAAGAACGAUAGUCGGAGGUUCGAAGACGAUCAGAUACCGUCCUAGUUUCGACUGUAAACUAUGCCAGCUAACGAUCAGACAGCGUUCUCUACGACUUGUCUGGCAGUUUCCGGGAAACCAAAGCUUUUGGGUUCCGGGGGAAGUAUGGUUGCAAAGCUGAAACUUAAAGGAAUUGACGGAAGGGCACCACCAGGAGUGGAGCCUGCGGCUUAAUUUGACUCAACACGGGGAAACUCACCCGGCCCGGACACAGUGAGGAUUGACAGAU